rnacentral:rRNA from 1 species
GGAGGGGGUUAGCGUUUGUUCGGAAUUACUGGGCGUAAAGCGCACGUAGGCGGACUGGAAAGUUGGGGGUGAAAUCCCAGGGCUCAACCCUGGAACUGCCUCCAAAACUAUCAGUCUAGAGUUCGAGAGAGGUGAGUGGAAUUCCGAGUGUAGAGGUGAAAUUCGUAGAUAUUCGGAGGAACACCAGUGGCGAAGGCGGCUCACUGGCUCGAUACUGACGCUGAGGUGCGAAAGUGUGGGGAGCAAACAGGAUUAGAUACCCUGGUAGUCCACACCGUAAACGAUGAAUGCCAGUCGUCGGGUAGCAUGCUAUUCGGUGACACACCUAACGGAUUAAGCAUUCCGCCUGGGGAGUACGGUCGCAAGAUUA